GUCUUCGUAGCUCAGUUGGUAGUAGCGUCAGUCUCAUAAUCUGAAGGUCGAGGGUUCGAGCCCCCCCGAAGGCA